rnacentral:rRNA from 1 species
GACGGGGCCCGCACAAGCAGCGGAGCGUGUGGUUUAAUUCGAUGCUACACGAAGAACCUUACCUGGAUUUGACAUGCACGUAGUAGUGAACCGAAAGGGGAACGAGCCUUCGGGCAGCGUGCACAGGUGCUGCAUGGCUGUCGUCAGCUCGUGCCGUGAGGUGUUGGGUUAAGUCCCGCAACGAGCGCAACCCUCGUCGCUAGUUACAUGUGUCUAGCGAGACUGCCAGGUUAACCCUGGAGGAAGGUGGGAUGACGUCAAGUCAGCAUGGCCUUUAUGUCCAGGGCUACACACACGCUACAAUGGUCGGUACAAUGGGAUGCCAAGCCGCGAGGCGGAGCAAAUCCUCAAAGCCGGCCUCAGUUCGGAUUGGAGGCUGCAACUCGCCUCCAUGAAGUCGGAGUUGCUAGUAACCGCAGGUCAGCUAUACUGCGGUGAAUACGUUCCCGGGCCUU